UAUAAUAACUUGUGCUACUCAGCACCAUUUUGUUGCUAAAUCCGCGUCUCCGUGAUCCGAACACGGUAAAAAUGGCUGUGAAAAUUUUCGCAGCCCUCGCAGUCCUCCUGCUCGUUGUUGCGGGCGAAUUCGUCACUCCGACGGUGGCCAGAAUGGUUUCGUCGGACGCAGAUGGCGGUGCAGCAAACGAGAACUUUACGAUCGGAGGAAAAGACGAGAUCGCGGAGGAAGAGAAAUUUUUCUUUUAUUUACGGCCGCUAUUCCGCCCGCCAAAAGUCCCGCCGUCGUCGUCGACGACAGCUGCAGAAGCUCCGUAAAGUCCGGCGCGUUUCGAAAAACCGCUUUUCGGUGCAGAAAUAGCUUUUCAGAACUGCUUCGUAUUUUAAAUGAGUUGAAUAAGUAUAUAAAUAUAUAAAAUAAAGAAAUGUUUUUA